rnacentral:rRNA from 1 species
UACGUAGGGACCAAGCGUUGUUCGGAUUUACUGGGCGUAAAGGGCGCGUAGGCGGCUUUGUAAGUCACUUGUGAAAUCUCCGGGCUUAACUCGGAACGGUCAAGUGAUACUGCAAUGCUAGAGUGCAGAAGGGGCAAUCGGAAUUCUUGGUGUAGCGGUGAAAUGCGUAGAUAUCAAGAGGAACACCUGAGGUGAAGACGGGUUGCUGGGCUGACACUGACGCUGAGGCGCGAAAGCCAGGGGAGCAAACGGG